rnacentral:rRNA from 1 species
AGUGAACGCUGGCGGUAGGCCUAACACAUGCAAGUCGAACGGCAGCACAGGAGAGCUUGCUCUCUGGGUGGCGAGUGGCGGACGGGUGAGGAAUACAUCGGAAUCUACUCUGUCGUGGGGGAUAACGUAGGGAAACUUACGCUAAUACCGCAUACGACCUACGGGUGAAAGCAGGGGACCUUCGGGCCUUGCGCGAUUGAAUGAGCCGAUGUCGGAUUAGCUAGUUGGUGGGGUAAAGGCCCACCAAGGCGACGAUCCGGAACUGGUCUGAGAGGAUGAUCAGUCACACCGGAACUGAGACACGGUCCGGACUCCUACGGGAGGCAGCAGUGGGGAAUAUUGGACAAUGGGGGCAACCCUGAUCCAGCCAUGCCGCGUGUGUGAAGAAGGCCUUCGGGUUGUAAAGCACUUUAGGUCGGGAGGAAGGUUCGCUGGCUAAUAUCCAGCGGAAUUGACGUUACCGACAGAAUAAGCACCGGCUAACUCCGUGCCAGCCGCCGCCGUAA